rnacentral:rRNA from 1 species
UUGCAUCGAUGAAGAACGCAGCGAAUUGCGAUAAGUAAUGUGAAUUGCAGAUUUUCAGUGAAUCAUCGAAUCUUUGAACGCACCUUGCGCUCCUUGGUAUUCCGAGGAGCAUGCCUGUUUGAGUGUCAUUUGAAUUCUCAACCAUGUCUUGAUUGAUUUCGAGGCAUGGCUUGGACUUGGGGGUUGCUGGCGGCGAAAUGCUGUCGGCUCUCCUGAAAUGCAUUAGCAAAAGGGGCUGCAAGUCUUUGGACGUGCACGGCCUUCGACGUGAUAAUGAUCGUCGUGGCUGGAGCGUCGGACAUGCAUGAAUGGUCCCAUUGCUUCCAAUUCCUAAUCCAAGGUCUAGAGUCGCUUAGCUACUAGUCAGGUCGAGAGGCCGACGAACGUUGGGUGGUCAAGGCUUGGCUGUUUUCGNNACUUGACCUCAAAUCAGGUAGGACUACCCGCUGAACUUAAGCAU